rnacentral:rRNA from 1 species
UACAGAGGGGGCAAGCGUUGUUCGGAAUUACUGGGCGUAAAGGGCGCGUAGGCGGCCUUCUAAGUCGAACGUGAAAUCCCCGGGCUCAACCCGGGAACUGCGUCCGAUACUGGAAGGCUUGAAUCCGGGAGAGGGAUGCGGAAUUCCAGGUGUAGCGGUGAAAUGCGUAGAUAUCUGGAGGAACACCGGUGGCGAAGGCGGCAUCCUGGACCGGCAUUGACGCUGAGGCGCGAAAGCGUGGGGAGCAACAGG